UCCGGUUGAUCCUGCCAGAGGUUACUGCUAUCGAGGUUCGACUAAGCCAUGCGAGUCGAAUGUAGCAAUACAUGGCGUACUGCUCAGUAACACGUGGACAACCUGCCCUUAGGUUGGGUAUAAACCCGGGAAACUGGGUAUAAUCCCCUAUAAGUCUCGGCUGCUGGAAUGCACCGAGAUUAAAAGCUCCGGCGCCUAAGGAUGGGUCUGCGGCCUAUCAGGUAGUAGUGGGUGUAGCGUACCUACUAGCCUACGACGGGUACGGGUUGUGAGAGCAAGAGCCCGGAGAUGGAUUCUGAGACACGAAUCCAGGCCCUACGGGGUGCAGCAGGCGCGAAAACUUUACAAUGCUGGCAACAGCGAUAAGGGAACCUCGAGUGCCAGGUUACAAAUCUGGCUGUCGAGAUGCCUAAAAAGCAUUUCAUAGCAAGGGCCGGGCAAGACCGGUGCCAGCCGCCGCGGUAACACCGGCGGCUCGAGUGGUAACCGUUAUUAUAGGGUCUAAAGGGUCUGUAGCCGGCCGGAUAAGUUCUCUUGAGAAAU
rnacentral:rRNA from 1 species